rnacentral:tRNA from 1 species
GGAAAUGUACCUGAAUGUCAAGGGUCACUGUGAUAAAGUGAACACAGAGGUACACGAACCCUCUCAUUUCCU